rnacentral:rRNA from 1 species
GGGCUUGACAUCCCACGAACCUGCCCGAAAAGGUGGGGUGCCCGCAAGGGAGCGUGGAGACAGGUGGUGCACGGCUGUCGUCAGCUCGUGUCGUGAGAUGUUGGGUUAAGUCCCGCAACGAGCGCAACCCUCACCCCUAGUAGCCACCGGGUUAAGCCGAGCACUCAAGGGGAACUGCCAGCGUCAAGCUGGAGGAAGGCGGGGAUGACGUCAAGUCAUCAUGCCCCUUACGCCCUGGGCUACACACGUGCUACAAUGGCCAGUACAAAGGGACGCGAGACUGCGAAGUGGAGCUAAUCCCAAAAAGCUGGUCUAAGUUCAGAUUGCAGUCUGCAACUCGACUGCAUGAAGGAGGAAUCGCUAGUAAUCGCGUAUCAGCCCGGCGCGGUGAAUACGUUCCCGGGCCCUGUACACACCGCCCGUCACACCACGAAAGCUGUCUGUACUCGAAGUCGCUGAG